GCCUGGGUAGCUCAGUGGAUAGAGCGAGGGUUUCCUAAACCCUGCGUCGGAGGUUCGAUUCCUCUCCCGGGUA
rnacentral:tRNA from 1 species